rnacentral:rRNA from 1 species
GAUGAACGCUGGCGGCGUGCCUAAUACAUGCAAGUCGAACGAAGAUCUAGCUUGCUAGAUCUUAGUGGCGAACGGGUGAGUAAUACAUAAAUAAUCUGCCCAUAUGACUGGGAUAACUAUUGGAAACGAUAGCUAAUACCGGAUAGGUUGAUUGGAGGCAUCUCUGAUUAAUUAAAGUAGGAUUUCUACAAAAAUGGAUGAGUUUAUGGCGCAUUAGUUAGUUGGUGGGGUAACGGCCUACCAAGACGAUGAUGCGUAGCCGACCUGAGAGGGUGACCGGCCACACUGGGACUGAGACACGGCCCAGACUCCUACGGGAGGCAGCAGUAGGGAAUUUUCGGCAACGGGCGCAAGCCUGACCGAGCAACGCCGCGUGAGUGAUUAAGGCCUUCGGGUUGUAAAGCUCUGUUGUAAGGGAAGAAUGAUCAGGUUAGGAAAUGAACCUGAAGUGACGGUACCUUACCAGAAAGCCACGGCUAACUACGUGCCAGCCGCCGCGGUAAGAC